CCCCAACAGGCGUCAUUAUCUCCACCGCUCUCUGUCUCGCACUGGUGAAAUUGUAGAGUUGUUCAAGCGGUGCCGAUUGGAAGUACCAUGAGUAUUUUCUAGAGUUUGCUGCAAAUUUAAAAGCUAAGAACAUAUUCUCUAGGUAUGUUGUUAAGCUUGAUACACUCAAUCCAUGUGUGACGUUAAAAAUUGAGUCAUCCAUGUUCAGGAAGACAUACACUAAAGGGGCAGGCAAUGGGAUCCUCCAUAUGCUCUUUGCUCUCCAGGCUCUGAGCGGACUGGAUCUGCAGACUGGCUUUUUUCAUGUUGAGGCAAAUUAAAGCUGCCCCUAAUAACUUUGAUCCUGUAAACAAAAUUGGUGAGCAGUUUUGGUUGUGUCGAUAAGGGCAUAUUAUUGGAUGGCACUACAAUUGCAGGCAACUCUUUUCAAAAUUAAAGCGAGGAAAUCGUGAGUUUCGCAUUGUCUACUUUCACAUCGAACUGCAUCUUAUCUAUACGGUUCUUAUGAGUGGUACAGACUAUGAAAAAGGAACAAACAGGGAAGAGGAUCAUAUUUAGUCCCGUUCGGUCUAUGGGACUAUAUUUAAGACAACAGGCUCCUGGCCCCUAAAACUUCUGCAGUCAUUGCCUAUGCAGAAGCUUUAGAGAACCAGAUGUCCAGCAUGAAAUUCCUAUAUGGACAAUCAGCAACUUAUUUCACAGUUGCCUUAGCAAAAACCAUAUGCGCUUCAAGGAACAUACUUGAAGCCACAUGCAGAGAUCCAUAUGAAAAAAGUUAAGGAAUGCAUAACUGAAACGACGAACAUUAAGAUCAUUUAGAACAUAGACAAAGUAAGGGGUCAUUUGGAAAAUGAACGGAAUAUGGAAACUAGGAAUUGUUCCAAGGCAUAUUACCUAGAAGUUACAGUACUGCUGUUGAAGGUUUUUUUUCUUUUCCUCAGUUGGCUUUGGGCUUAGAGGUAUAUUUGUUUCUUCUUUUGCUGGUAAUUUUCUUUACUAUCAAUGACACACUAAGAGUGCUUUUAUAAAUGAGUUGUACUGAACACUUAAAUGAUCACACUUGAAGUUUGGUCAAGGACACAUUAGAUAAACAUACAGAUAAAAAAGUUUGCAUCAUCUAUUAGUACAUUCACUAAACUGAUCUUGGUCCAAAUUGGCUUUGAGCUUGUUACCUUCAUUAUCAGCUUUGAAUAUCUUCCUGAUUGUGAUUUUCAGUGCUCAACCCUUUGCAUGAUGGACAAGUUACCUGACCUCAGGU
rnacentral:lncRNA from 1 species